CAGCAAGCUCGAGGCUGGAAUUCAGGGGCGGUAGCGUU
rfam:Aeromonas hydrophila subsp. hydrophila ATCC 7966, complete genome.